rnacentral:lncRNA from 8 species
AUGAACUCUACAGCUCUGAUGAUCAUUGUAGCAGGGAAACAGACCUCAGUUCUGACUGCAGCUGUAGGAACCAUAGUGGUUGUUCUGGUUCUCAUCCUCUGUCUCUCUGGACUCAUGUGGUUCAGGAAGAAGUCCUCCAAAUCCACCUCUGACACAAGAGACACAGCAGACAAUGGACAGGGAGACUCUAGUCCAGUGUAUGACAACGUCUCAAGCAUGGCCAUGAACCCUACUGCAGCACAGACAGCAGCCACAGACGGCCAGGAUGAUGUUCACUACAGCAGCGUCCACUUCUCACGCUCCAAAAACCAGGAGGUGCCUCUAUAUUCCACCGUCCAACUGCCUCAGCCCCAGAAACAGGAUGAGGAUGUCCAGUACUCUGCUCUGACAUUCAACCUCCCCACUGCUGCCACCCGACCAGCAGCAGCACAAGCAGCUGAGGAGGACUCCUCUGUUCUGUACAGUACAGUCAACAAACCCUGAACCAAGAAGACCUGAACACAACAAACCCAGAACCAAGAAGACCUGAACACAACAAACCCAGAACCAAGAAGACCUGAACAGAACAAGUUUGACACAAACCUUGUAUAUCUGGACCUGUAUAUUUAAACUAAGUGACAUAAGGCCUGAGGGGGUGUGGAAUAUUGACCAUUAUGAACCAGGUGGUUUGAGCCCUGAAUGCUGAUUAGCUGAAAGGCAUGAUAUAUCAGACCGUAUAGCAUGGGUAUUAACAUUUUAAUUUACAUUGGUAACCAGUUUAAAAUAAGGCACCUCUGGGUUUGUGAUAUUUGGCCAAUAUACGACGGCUAAGGGCUGUAUCCAAGUACUCCACGUUGCUUUGUGCAUAAGAACAGCCCUUAGCUGUAAUAUAUUGGCCAUAUACCACACCUCCUCGGGGCUUAUUGCUUACGUUUAUAAUGGCAAUAAGGCACUUCUGGGGUUUGUGGUAUAUGGCCAACGUACCGUACCACGGCUUAUUUUGAAACUGGUUAAGAAUAUAAUUAGAACAGUAAACAAGUAUUUUUACAUCAUACCCGCGGUAUAUUGUCUGCUAUAGAGUAUACACUUCUGAAAUGCUGUUUCAGCCAAUCAGCAUCCAGGACCCAAACCACCCAGUGUAUAAUAGUAUAUAAUAAUAUUUUCCAUCCAGCCGACACUUUUAUCCAAAUUCACUCAGUCAUUACAGUCAUGUUUGAAUACAUUUUUCGGAUGGAAUGAAAGGAAUGAAACCCAUGAGCCAUGCUGUACAAACUGGGCCACACCGGACUACUCUAUUCACACUUAGAAUAGGAGUGCUGAUCUAGGGUCAGUUUUCACUUUUUUCACAAUGAUGAAUAAGAAAGUACCUUAACAUUUUUUUGUUAGUUUUUUUGUAAAAUUGUAAACAUUUCUGAUUACAAUAUAUUUUUCCCAAAAUGUUAUAUUUCUGAAACAAUCAUCAGACUUGUGAGACUAUAUGCUGUAUGAAGGCUAAGAACAAGAAAGUCAUUCUAUAUGCUUCUAUUAUAUUCUAUUACUUCAUAUGCUACUGUUAGAUGAUACACAUAGUAUAAGUUGGGUAUAUUUUUUUGUUUUUAUGUUCAGGAAAGAGUUCUGCUUAAUGCAAGGUUUCUUAUCGCUUUUAUCAAAUGUAUUUUUUUUGUAAGCUAGUGUGUGAAGUGUGACUUUUUUUCAGAAUGAACUUCAUCGUCAUUGUUUUUACCUCGUUAUAACAGUAUCUUCAGUUGAGAGAAAAUGGAAAGCUUUCAACAUCACACCUCUUGUACUGUACAGUACAUACAGUAACUACAAAUAACACAUUUACAUUGGUUUGCAUAGCAAUAGUGGUUCAUUCCCAUUCAUCAUCAUCGCCAACAAAUCAAAGUGUAUUUGUCAACAGUGCAAUUUCAAAAAAAUGUUUUAAUUGGUAUUAGGUGAACAAUAGACAGGUAAGGAAAUAAAAACAACAGUAAAAACAGUAGUGAGGCUAUAUACAGGCACCGGUUAGUCGGGCUGAUUGAGGUAGUAUGUACAUAUAGAUAUGGUUAAAGUGACUAUGCAUAUAUGAUAAACAGAGAGUAGCAGUAGCGUAAAAGAGGGCUUGGUGGGUGGUGGGUGGUGGGACACAAUGCAGAUAGCCCGGUUAGCCAAUGUGCGGGGGCACUGGUUGUUCGGGCUAAUUGAGGUAGUAUGUACAUGAAUGUAUUGUAGCGACCCGCACAGACAGCUGUGGGUUAUGUGUUAGGCUAUUAGUGGGUUGUGUCGUACUUACCAGUGUUCGCGGGGUCAUGCCAAUCAACCUGCUAUCUGCCAAUCACGGGAAUGCCUGGAAUGUUCUGAUACCGGGCAGCCUGGUGGUUGGCGGAGUGGCGUGGAGGGGAGUUGGGCAGGGGGAUGGAGCAUUGGAAGUUAAGACCGGGUUUAGCCAUUGUUCUCUCUCUUAUGUCUGGGCUUCACAAGAGAAGGUCACGGUUGGUUUGUAGGGUACCUUUCAUUUAUUUGGCAUGGGCUACGGCCAAACAGUAGCCUGUGUUAAGUUGGGUUAAUAAACCAUCCUCUGUCUGGACAAUUGUUCCUUUAGGAUCUAGUCAGGUCAUUACAUUGGUGUCAGAAGUAAAAACGUGAAUAAAAGUUAGCCAGCUAGCUGACUUCGGUGGCUAGCUAACGU